rnacentral:rRNA from 1 species
UACGGAGGGAGCUAGCGUUGUUCGGAAUUACUGGGCGUAAAGCGCACGUAGGCGGCGAUUCAAGUCAGAGGUGAAAGCCCGGGGCUCAACCCCGGAACGGCAUCCGAUACGGGGCGGCUCGAGACCGAGAGAGGUGAGUGGAAUACCCAGUGUAGAGGUGAAAUUCGUAGAUAUUGGGUGGAACACCGGUGGCGAAAGCGGCUCACUGGCUCGGUUCUGACGCUGAGGCGCGAAAGCGUGGGGAGCAAACAGG